rfam:Dipodomys ordii contig_7202, whole genome shotgun sequence.
GGUGGCUCAGUGGUAGAGUACUUGCUUUGUAUGCAUGAGUCCCUGGGUUCGAUUCCUCAGUACUA